rnacentral:rRNA from 1 species
AUUGAACGCUGGCGGCAGGCCUAACACAUGCAAGUCGAAAGAGUGGCGGACGGGUGAGUAAUGUCUGGGAAACUGCCCGAUGGAGGGGGAUAACGUAGGGAAACUUACGCUAAUACCGCAUAAGAUUGAAUGAGCCGAUGUCGGAUUAGCUAGUUGGCGGGGUAAAGGCCCACCAGGGCGACGAUCCGGAGCUGGUCUGAGAGGAUGAGCAGCCACACGGGAAUGGAGACACGGUCCAGACUCCUACGGGAGGCAGCAUGGGGGAAUAUUGGACAAUGGGCGCAAGCCUGAUCCAGCCAUACCGCGUGGGUGAAGAAGGCUUUCGGGUUGUAAAGCCCUUUUGUUGGGAAAGCGGUACCCAAAGAAUAAACACCGGCUAACUUCGUGCCAGCCGCCGCGGUAAUAC